rnacentral:lncRNA from 1 species
CUUUUCCUCUCUUCCACAAGCACAACCCUUCUUCAGACGUCCAUAUACACUUCUCCCAAAAUCCUGUGCUUAACACAUUGUUACUGAGCACACAGGCGUGCUGGGGCAAGCGACGCCUGGGAAUAUGAAGCGAACGCCACACACUAGAACGCGCCCUGGGAGCUGGCCUCCGGUGGGGGACGCAGGUGUUGAAGACAUAACCGCAUGACCGAACUGUCUGCCACCAACUUGUACUAACUUCCGUCUCUCACCUGGGACCGUGCAGCCAGCAGCUCCUCCUGCAAGGGAUCAUGGCUUACCACCAUCCACCCCAAUGUCUCGGAGCUGCCUCAUUCUGCAGGAGGAGGCCCUUGCAGGGAUGGUGGUGGCAACUGCACAGCAAUGAACAAAACCGCUUUUUAAAUGUCACUAGUAAUUCCCAGGAUCACGCACAGCUCUAGAAAGCACCGCAGUAACUAUUCCUUCUGAACACCUUGGCACAGGAGACCUGGAGUGACCCUACGUGGCUUUCACCCAGGGGGAAUCAUGUCUGGGGCUAAAUACAAGGACAAAGGAGAGAGAAGCCUGGGGGAUGUCGGCUGGGGCAGUAGCAGUCAGAGAGCGAAGGGCUUGAAGGUCAUAUCAAGGAGUCUGAAUUUUGUUGUGUACAACACAGAGGGGUAUGGGAGACGGUUAAGUGGAGAACUAAGAGAACAAUAAGAGACAGUGCACCAGAGAUUGUUGCCUCCCCACUAUCUGUUUCUCCCUCCUUCCCUUCCAGUGAAACCUUGAUUUUAUUCUGGCCAGAAAUGUGUCUGGCCAAAGACUAUAUCUCCCAGUCUCCCUUGCAGCCAGAUAUGGCAUGUGACUGUUCUAAUCAAUGAGACAUGGGAGAAAUUGAUGAGGGUGCCUUGUGGAAAGCUCAAUCAAAAGAGGACACAGCUGAUGAAAGCUUUUUUUACCCAUUUCUUCUUCCUCCUGCAUUCCACCUGGAAUGAAGAUAUUAUGGUUGGUGCUCCAGCAGUUAUUUUGGGCUAUGAGGUAAUCUCCUCAUAGAGGCCAGAAAUUAGGUAAGGAAGAGCAAAG